rnacentral:rRNA from 1 species
AAAGAAACUAACAAGGAUUCCCCUAGUAACGGCGAGUGAAGAGGGAAGAGCUCAAAUUUUAAAUCUGCCUUGUUUCAAGGUCGAGUUGUAAUUUGAAGAAGCGUUUUCUUGGGCUCGCGGCCGGUAGAAGUUCUUUGGAACAGGACAUCAUAGAGGGUGAAAAUCCCGUCUGCGACCGGUCGUGUGUUCAUCUACGAUACGCUUUCAAAGAGUCGAGUUGUUUGGGAUUGCAGCUCCAAAUGGGUGGUAAACAUCACCUAAGGCUAAAUAUUGGCGAGAGACCGAUAGCGAACAAGUACCGUGAGGGGAAGAUGAAAAGAACUUUGAAAAGAGAGUUAAACAGUACGUGAAAUUGUUGAAAGGGAAACGAUUGAAGUCAGUCGUGCUGGCGCGAAAUCAACCCUCUCGUCGAGAGGACACAUGGCGUGGCGAGCCUCAAAACCGUCACGAAGCGUGAACUCUUGGCGAAAAGGAGCACUUUCGUGUCCGCUGGUUAACAUCAGUUUCGAACGUCAUAAAAAGGCUGGAGGGAUGUGGCUCCUUCGGGAGUGUUAUAACCUUUAGCGGAAUGUGGUGGUCGGGAUUGAGGAUUGCAACGAAUACCUUUAGGGCUGUUCCACCUGGCCUCUCUUUGGUAUCCUGGUGACGACAGCUUGCUGACGUUGUUAGGAUUCGCCAUUGAACAGGCUAGAGUGUGAGCAAAUUCGUUAAGGAUGUUG